rnacentral:misc_RNA from 1 species
GAUGAAGAACGUAGCGAAAUGCGAUACGUAAUGUGAAUUGCAGAAUUCAGUGAAUCAUCGAAUCUUUGAACGCAUAUUGCGCUCUUUGGUAUUCCGAAGAGCAUGCUUGUUUGAGUAUCAGUAAACACCUCAAAGCUUUUGGAUUUUUUAAUCGAAAAGCUUUGGACUUGAGCAAUCCCAACACCAAUCUUUUUGAGAUCGGUGGCGGGUUGCUUGAAACGCAGGUACAGCUGGACAUUCUCCUGAGCUAAAAGCAUAUUCAUUUAGUCCCGUCAAACGGAUUAUUACUUUUGCUGCAGCUAACAUAAAGGGAGUUUGACCGUAUUGGCUGACUGAUGCAGGAUUUCACAAGGGUCGGCAACGAUUCUUGUUAAACUCGAUCUCAAAUCAAGUAAGACUACCCGCUGAACUUAAGCAUAUCAAUAAGCGGAGGA